rnacentral:rRNA from 1 species
AAGCUCUGAACUGAAGCCCCGGUGAACGGCGGCCGUAACUAUAACGGUCCUAAGGUAGCGAAAUUCCUUGUCGGGUAAGUUCCGACCCGCACGAACGGCGUAACAACUGGAGCACUGUCUCAACGAGGGACCCGGUGAAAUUGAAGUCGCGGUAAAGAUGCCGCGUACCCGCAGCAGGACAAAAAGACCCCGUGGAGCUUUACUACAGCUUGGUAUUGUGUUCGGGCUUAGCUUGUCUAGCAUAGAUGGGAGGCUUCGAAGCUGGGGCGCCAGCCUCGGUGGAGCCGUCAGUGGAAUACCAUCCUUGUUAAGUUUGGACCCUAACCCCCGACCGUUAUCCGGCGGGGGGACAGUGCCUGGUGGGUAGUUUGACUGGGGCGGUCGCCUCCUAAAAGGUAGCGGAGGCGCCCAAAGGUUCCCUCAGGCUGAAUGGAAACCAGCCAUAGAGUGUAAAGGCAUAAGGGAGCUUGACUGCAAGACAUACACGUCGAGCAGAGACGAAAGUCGGGCUUAGUGAUCCCACGGUACCGAGUGGAAGGGCCGUGGCAAACGGAUAAAAGCUACCCCGGGGAUAACAGGCUAGUCACGCCCAAGAGUUCACAUCGACGGCGUGGCUCGGCACCUCGAUGUCGGCUCAUCGCAUCCUGGGGCUGGAUAAGGUCCCAAGGGUUGGGCUGUUCGCCCAUUAAAGCGGUACGUGAGCUGGGUUCAGACCGUCGUG